UUUAGGUUCAACUGAUAAACUAAGAAAUCAGUUCAAAAUGAUGUUAAUCGUGUUUGCAACAUUGGCUGCUUUUGCUGGUGCCGAGCCAACGAAACCUGGAUGCUGUGUGCCACCCCAGUGGGAAGGAAGGCAAGGCUCCAUAAUUGGAACGGUUACUAAAGGCUCUACGUCUGUAACCAAUGCCAACUAUUUUAUGUCAUACGACGAAACCAACCAAAGAUUAUAUUACGAAACAGAAACUGAGACAGAAGGCGUGACACAAUAUUUAAAAAUCAUACAAAAUUAUGCAAAGGGAAUGCAAUACGUUAUUGAUCUUCAAAAGCAAAACUGUUCAUCUUUCCCGAUUGGUGAACAAUUCCAAAAGAUUUGCUUGCCAGCCAAUGCAACAUUAGCCGGAAAGAUAUAUUUCGGUAUUGGCACUAAUCGGUUUGAUGCAGUCUCAUAUACAUAUUAUACUCAUGGAACUAACGUAACUGUGGUAGGAACACCUGAUGAUUGUAUUCCUGUAAUAGAUGUUCUUAGGGUGAAAGACAGUAGUAUGGGAACCGCACAGAUGACAUUCACUGGAUUUGUUGAUCUUACAGUGGGUAUUCGCGAUCCAUCUAUAUUUAAUGUUCCGUCUAUAUGUAAACAGGUGGACCCUUCAAUAUUUAAGUCUAUUACAAGGAAAGGAGGUUUUUUCAGAUUCUAGACAAACAGCAUCAGUAUCUUCUACCAUAAAGAUACA